GUGAGGAAUUUUCCGCAAUGGGCGAAAGCCUGACGGAGCAAUGCCGCGUGAAGGAUGAAGGCCUAUGGGUUGUAAACUUCUUUUUUUAGAGAAGAAUAUUGACGGUAUCUGAGGAAUAAGCAUCGGCUAACUCUGUGCCAGCAGCCGCGGUAAGACAGAGGAUGCAAGCGUUAUCCGGAAUGAUUGGGCGUAAAGCGUCUGUAGGUGGCUUCAAAAGUCUCCUGUCAAAGAUCAGGGCUUAACCCUGGGCCGGCAGGAGAAACUCUGAGGCUAGAGUUUGGUAGGGGCAGAGGGAAUUCCCGGUGGAGCGGUGAAAUGCGUAGAGAUCGGGAGGAACACCAAAGGCGAAAGCACUCUGCUGGGCCACAACUGACACUGAGAGACGAAAGCGAGGGGAGCAAAAGGGAUUAGAAACCCCAGUAGUCC
rnacentral:rRNA from 1 species